UUCCUUUUAGCAGCAAAUAUACUAAAAUUGGAAUGAUACAAAGUAGAUUACCUUGGCCCCUGGACAAGGAUGACACACAAAUUCCUGAAGUAUUUUAUAUUUAA